rnacentral:pre_miRNA from 1 species
UAUGUACUCCCUCCGUUCCAAAUUACUUGUCUCGGAAAUGGAUGUAUCUAGAACUAAAAUACAUCUAGAUACAUCCAUUUUCGCGACAAGUAAUUCCGAACGGAGGGAGUAUAUC